AAUGGCUUUUUAAAGAUACUCUUGGAUUUUUACUCACCCUACUUACUCACAAGCAUGGCGUCCAUGUGUGGUAGGCGGUUCAUCAAAAUGGCAUCUAAGGAAAUGAAAAAUAGCCUGCAUUCAAAAUACAUGCAUGGCCCAUCUGAUUAGAAGUUGAGACUAUGUCCUUCUUUCUCGGCCAAGGUAGUUACAACAAAGUGGGUUGCUUAAAGGGAAUGAUCUCACGGAUCGCUUUUUCCGAAUCCUCAUGGAAAUUUCUGUAGCAAAUUGUUUGGCCACUGGCAUGAUUAAUCCAAGCUCAUUGUUCCUAUAAAUGCCACAACAAGUCCAACAUCUCUCAUUUGUUGUUAUUGAUAUGUAUGCAAAGCUUGUGGUUUUAGUUAUUAAGAUUUUGUCAGUGAUUGUGAGAGUUAUCUAAAAGGAUGCAGAAGAGAAGAAAGCUGCUUUCAGCCGAAGGGCAUAUUUCAGAUUGUUUCUGAACUGACUUUUGGACCUUAGUUCCCCUAACCCUGUCCUUGAUAGUUCCAACUUUCAGGUUCACUUUCUGUACAAAGGCACUCUAAGGGUGCUCUUGGUACUGCUUCAUGAUUUUCCGGAGUUCCUUUGUGAUUAUCAUUUCAGCUUCUAUGAUGUGAUUCCACCCAGUUGCAUUCAAAUGCGGAAUGUUAUUCAAAGUGCAUUCCCACGAAACAUGAGGUUGCCCAAUCCUUCUACUCCCAACUUGAAGUUGGCUGCAUCACGAUUUUGUUUGA